rnacentral:rRNA from 1 species
GGGUUGUGAGGUUAAGCGACUAAGCGUACACGGUGGAUGCCCCUGGCAGUCAGAGGCGAUGAAGGGCGUGCUAAUCUGCGAUAAGCGCCGGUAAGGUGAUAUGAACCGUUAUAACCGGCGAUACCCGAAUGGGGAAACCCAGUGUGAUUCGUCACACUAUCAUUAACUGAAUCCAUAGGUUAAUGAGGCGAACCGGGGGAACUGAAACAUCUAAGUACCCCGAGGAAAAGAAAUCAACCGAGAUUCCCCCAGUAGCGGCGAGCGAACGGGGAGGAGCCCAGAGCCUGAAUCAGCAUGUGUGUUAGUGGAAGCGUCUGGAAAGGCGCGCGAUACAGGGUGACAGCCCCGUACACAAAAGCGCAUGUGCUGUGAGCUCGAUGAGUAGGGCGGGACACGUGGUAUCCUGUCUGAAUAUGGGGGGACCAUCCUCCAAGGCUAAAUACUCCUGACUGACCGAUAGUGAACCAGUACCGUGAGGGAAAGGCGAAAAGAACCCCGGCGAGGGGAGUGAAAAAGAACCUGAAACCGUGUACGUACAAGCAGUGGGAGCACCCUUUGGGUGUGACUGCGUACCUUUUGUAUAAUGGGUCAGCGACUUAUAUUCUGUAGCAAGGUUAACCGAAUAGGGAGCCGGAGGGAAACCGAGUCUUAAUUGGGCGUUAAGUUGCAGGGUAUAGACCCGAAACCCGGUGAUCUAGCCAUGGGCAGGUUGAAGGUUGGGUAACACUAACUGGAGGACCGAACCGACUAAUGUUGAAAAAUUAGCGGAUGACCUGUGGCUGGGGGUGAAAGGCCAAUCAAACCGGGAGAUAGCUGGUUCUCCCCGAAAGCUAUUUAGGUAGCGCCUCGUGAAUUCAUCUCCGGGGUAGAGCACUGUUUCGGCUAGGGGGCCAUCCCGGCUUACCAACCCGAUGCAAACUGCGAAUACCGGAGAAUGUUAUCACGGGAGACACACGGCGGGUGCUAACGUCCGUCGUGAAGAGGGAAACAACCCAGACCGCCAGCUAAGGUCCCAAAGUCAUGGUUAAGUGGGAAACGAUGUGGGAAGGCCCAGACAGCCAGGAUGUUGGCUUAGAAGCAGCCAUCAUUUAAAGAAAGCGUAAUAGCUCACUGGUCGAGUCGGCCUGCGCGGAAGAUGUAACGGGGCUAAACCAUGCACCGAAGCUGCGGCAGCGACACUGUGUGUUGUUGGGUAGGGGAGCGUUCUGUAAGCCUGUGAAGGUGUGUCGUGAGGCAUGCUGGAGGUAUCAGAAGUGCGAAUGCUGACAUAAGUAACGAUAAAGCGGGUGAAAAGCCCGCUCGCCGGAAGACCAAGGGUUCCUGUCCAACGUUAAUCGGGGCAGGGUGAGUCGACCCCUAAGGCGAGGCCGAAAGGCGUAGUCGAUGGGAAACGGGUUAAUAUUCCCGUACUUGGUGUUACUGCGAAGGGGGGACGGAGAAGGCUAUGUUGGCCGGGCGACGGUUGUCCCGGUUUAAGCGUGUAGGUGUGUGUUCCAGGUAAAUCCGGUUCACUUUAACACUGAGGCGUGACGACGAGGCACUACGGUGCUGAAGCAACAAAUGCCCUGCUUCCGUGAAAGCCUCUAAGCAUCAGGUAACAUCAAAUCGUACCCCAAACCGACACAGGUGGUCAGGUAGAGAAUACCAAGGCGCUUGAGAGAACUCGGGUGAAGGAACUAGGCAAAAUGGUGCCGUAACUUCGGGAGAAGGCACGCUGACACGUAGGUGAAGUGAUUUACUCAUGGAGCUGAAGUCAGUCGAAGAUACCAGCUGGCUGCAACUGUUUAUUAAAAACACAGCACUGUGCAAACACGAAAGUGGACGUAUACGGUGUGACGCCUGCCCGGUGCCGGAAGGUUAAUUGAUGGGGUCAGCGCAAGCGAAGCUCCUGAUCGAAGCCCCGGUAAACGGCGGCCGUAACUAUAACGGUCCUAAGGUAGCGAAAUUCCUUGUCGGGUAAGUUCCGACCUGCACGAAUGGCGUAAUGAUGGCGGGCUGUCUCCACCCGAGACUCAGUGAAAUUGAACUCGCUGUGAAGAUGCAGUGUACCCGCGGCAAGACGGAAAGACCCCGUGAACCUUUACUAUAGCUUGACACUGAACAUUGAGCCUUGAUGUGUAGGAUAGGUGGGAGGCUUUGAAGUGUGGACGCCAGUCUGCAUGGAGCCGACCUUGAAAUACCACCCUUUAAUGUUUGAUGUUCUAACGUGGACCCGUUACCCGGGUUGCGGACAGUGUCUGGUGGGUAGUUUGACUGGGGCGGUCUCCUCCUAAAGAGUAACGGAGGAGCACGAAGGUUGGCUAAUCUGGUCGGACAUCAGGAGGUUAGUGCAAUGGCAUAAGCCAGCUUGACUGCGAGCGUGACGGCGCGAGCAGGUGCGAAAGCAGGUCAUAGUGAUCCGGUGGUUCUGAAUGGAAGGGCCAUCGCUCAACGGAUAAAAGGUACUCCGGGGAUAACAGGCUGAUACCGCCCAAGAGUUCAUAUCGACGGCGGUGUUUGGCACCUCGAUGUCGGCUCAUCACAUCCUGGGGCUGAAGUAGGUCCCAAGGGUAUGGCUGUUCGCCAUUUAAAGUGGUACGCGAGCUGGGUUUAGAACGUCGUGAGACAGUUCGGUCCCUAUCUGCCGUGGGCGCUGGAGAACUGAGGGGGGCUGCUCCUAGUACGAGAGGACCGGAGUGGACGCAUCACUGGUGUUCGGGUUGUCAUGCCAAUGGCACUGCCCGGUAGCUAAAUGCGGAAGAGAUAAGUGCUGAAAGCAUCUAAGCACGAAACUUGCCCCGAGAUGAGUUCUCCCUGAGACUUAGAGUCUCCUGAAGGAACGUUGAAGACGACGACGUUGAUAGGCCGGGUGUGUAAGCGCAGCGAUGCGUUGAGCUAACCGGUACUAAUGAACCGUGAGGCUUAACCUUACAACGCCGAAG